GCUGGCUAAUGCUCAAGCACUGAGUAAUAGGGGUAUUUUGAUCACUACGAAAAUACAGGGCUCUGUUUGUGAGGCCAAAUGCUUUCAAGGCGUAUAAAAUGUCAUAUUUAUGAGUGAGCAAAAUUGUAAUGUCAUAAGUUGAAUUGUAAUAGCAUAUUUCUAAACUGACAUAUUUGGAAUGACAUAGAUCUAAUUAACCCUAAGAACAAAUGCCAAAGGAGGC
rnacentral:lncRNA from 1 species